UCUGGUAACAUGGACAGGACGAUAAUCAGCAUACAUAAAAUGGACAGAUUGUACAUCACCUUAUAUAAAGUACUUGGAGGAAAAUAAAUAAAUAAAUCAUGAAGGUAGGCUUCAAAAUCACGUUAAGGUUGCUGUCUUAUAACCAGAAGAUUGCAAGUUUGAAUCUUCAUAAACACCCCCUCUCCACUAUGAAAAAGUAGAGCAAUAUACAUUUAUCAUCCUGGGACCUCGCCAGAUGAAUCUUCUUUAUGUUGCCAUCUGCGAACCUCAUCAUAUAUCAUUCCUAACACAGAGGUUGAAGUGAAUGAUUUCUCCUUUUCCAUAUAAUGUGGGAACAAUUCUGCAGACAACUCUUUUGGGACUUCAAUCUGUUGAUAAAGUACAUGUGUCAGUUCAGACUGGAAAACUCAGAUGGUAUUCAUUCUGGAAAGCAUUAUUUGUAAAUAUUUACACGAAUAAAACCAAAUACAAAGUCAUGUCAUCUAUUUGACCACACGGCACCAGAAACAUGAUUUUUCAAUCCCGAAACAAACAUUUAAAUAGUAGAAAACUGAAAACCCCAGAUGAUAGAAUAGA